rnacentral:rRNA from 1 species
GACGAACGCUGGCGGCGUGCUUAACACAUGCAAGUCGAACGGAAAGGCCCUGCUUUUGUGGGGUGCUCGAGUGGCGAACGGGUGAGUAACACGUGAGUAACCUGCCCUUGACUUUGGGAUAACUUCAGGAAACUGGGGCUAAUACCGGAUAGGAGCUCCUGCUGCAUGGUGGGGGUUGGAAAGUUUCGGCGGUUGGGGAUGGACUCGCGGCUUAUCAGCUUGUUGGUGGGGUAGUGGCUUACCAAGGCUUUGACGGGUAGCCGGCCUGAGAGGGUGACCGGCCACAUUGGGACUGAGAUACGGCCCAGACUCCUACGGGAGGCAGCAGUGGGGAAUAUUGCACAAUGGGCGGAAGCCUGAUGCAGCAACGCCGCGUGCGGGAUGACGGCCUUCGGGUUGUAAACCGCUUUCGCCUGUGACGAAGCGUGAGUGACGGUAAUGGGUAAAGAAGCACCGGCUAACUACGUGCCAGCAGCCGCGGUGAUACGUAGGGUGCGAGCGUUGUCCGGAUUUAUUGGGCGUAAAGGGCUCGUAGGUGGUUGAUCGCGUCGGAAGUGUAAUCUUGGGGCUUAACCCUGAGCGUGCUUUCGAUACGGGUUGACUUGAGGAAGGUAGGGGAGAAUGGAAUUCCUGGUGGAGCGGUGGAAUGCGCAGAUAUCAGGAGGAACACCAGUGGCGAAGGCGGUUCUCUGGGCCUUUCCUGACGCUGAGGAGCGAAAGCGUGGGGAGCGAACAGGCUUAGAUACCCUGGUAGUCCACGCUGUAAACGGUGGGUACUAGGUGUGGGGUCCAUUCCACGGGUUCCGUGCCGUAGCUAACGCUUUAAGUACCCCGCCUGGGGAGUACGGCCGCAAGGCUAAAACUCAAAGGAAUUGACGGGGCCCCGCACAAGCGGCGGAGCAUGCGGAUUAAUUCGAUGCAACGCGUAGAACCUUACCUGGGUUUGACAUGGAUCGGGAGCGCUCAGAGAUGGGUGUGCCUCUUUUGGGGUCGGUUCACAGGUGGUGCAUGGCUGUCGUCAGCUCGUGUCGUGAGAUGUUGGGUUAAGUCCCGCAACGAGCGCAACCCUUGUUCACUGUUGCCAGCACGUUAUGGUGGGGACUCAGUGGAGACCGCCGGGGUCAACUCGGAGGAAGGUGGGGAUGACGUCAAGUCAUCAUGCCCCUUAUGUCCAGGGCUUCACGCAUGCUACAAUGGCUGGUACAGAGAGUGGCGAGCCUGUGAGGGUGAGCGAAUCUCGGAAAGCCGGUCUCAGUUCGGAUUGGGGUCUGCAACUCGACUUCAUGAAGUCGGAGUCGCUAGUAAUCGCAGAUCAGCAACGCUGCGGUGAAUACGUUCCCGGGGCU